GUCCACGCCGUAAACGAUGGGUGCUAGGUGUCGCGGGCUUUGACCCCUGCGGUGCCGUAGCUAACGCAUUAAGCACCCCGCCUGGGGAGUACGGCCGCAAGGCUAAAACUCAAAGGAAUUGACGGGGCCCGCACAAGCGGUGGAGCAUGUGGUUCAAUUCGACGCAACGCGCAGAACCUUACCUGGGCUAGAAAAUGCAGGAACCUGGUUGAAAAAUCGGGGUGCUCUUCGGAGAACCUGUAGUUAGGUGCUGCAUGGCUGUCGU
rnacentral:rRNA from 1 species